GUGGCUGUAGCUCUGUGGUAGAGCUCUCGCCCUGCAUGUGUGAGGCACUGGGUUCAAUCCUCAGCACCACA
rnacentral:tRNA from 1 species